rnacentral:lncRNA from 1 species
AGGUCAACCCAUCGACCUCAAACAGACCUAGGUCAGCCCUCAGAUACCUCAAGCGACCUGGUCAGCCCCUCAGAUACCUCCAAGAGACCUAGGUCAGCCCCUCAGUUACCUCCAAGAGACCUAGGUCAGCCCCUCAGAUACCUCCAGAGACCUACAGGUCACGCCCCUCAGACCUAGAUCCGCCCCUCAUACCUCAGACCUCCAACAGAACAUAGGUCAGGCCCCUCGACCAACAGUCUAGGUCAGCCCCUCAGACCUCCAACAGACCCAGGUUCAGCCCCUCAGACCUCCAACAGACCUAGGUCAGCCCCUCAGAAACCUCCAACCGACCGAGGUCAGCCGCUCUGACCCUCCAAAAGACCUUAGGUCAGCCCCUCAGACCUCCAGCGACCCUAGGUCAGCCCAUCAGA